CUCACCAGAAGCUCCCUCAUAGAGAAAAAAUUAAGAAAGAGAAACAGAGCAAGAAUCCAUGGAUGCACGGAUUUACAGGCUAGAGGACCCACCCUUCUCUACGCUGCGGCAUUUGGUAGAGCUGCCGGAAGAAGUGGAGAAAGCCUUCAACACUCCGACGAGGAAUUAUGUUCACGACGCACAAGCGAUGGCUUCCACACCGGCAGACGUCAAGGAGCUUCCGUCGGCCUACGAAUUUGUUCUCGAUAUGCCUGGAGUUAAAUCUGGCGAGAUCAAGGUUCAGGUUGAGGACGGUAACUUGCUAACCGUUACUGGUGAGCGUGGCCGGGAGGAAGAUGACAAGAAAGGUGGGGGGAAGUAUCUUCGUUUGGAACGGCGGGUGGGGAAAUUUAUGCGUAAGUUCUCGCUACCGGACAAUGCCAAUGUUGAAGGAAUAAACGCGAUCUACCGCGACGGGGUGUUGAUCGUUACGGUGAAGAAGCUGCCGCCUCCCGAGCCGAAGAAGACAAAGACAAUCGAGGUGAAGAUUGCAUGAAUAGAAAUGACAGGAGGCUUAUGAGACGAGCAAAAAUAUUAGUAUCAUGAAGCGGGUCUAGUGAAGGGGAGAGUAGUAAAGUAGCUAAAACUCCUGCUCGUACUGACUCCCAUGAGCAUGAAAACAAUGGCACGCAGGAUCUGCUAUGACAACCAUUCUAUAUUAUUGGAGAGCAUGCCUCAUGUUUUGAUGACGGAGUUUGGCUCAUUGGAUUAACAAGUUGGGGCAGAGUCACUUUACAAAAAUUGAGCAAAUUUGUGUCUGACAUAUCGGAUGCAAAACGAUGGUAAAUCGGUUGCUAAUAAGGAAUUAUUGUAGGAUUUGUGUCCGUUUUAAGUACACUUAUUUUCACGAUUAAAUCAGGG